rnacentral:rRNA from 1 species
GUGUUGAGGAAGAUAAUGACGGUACUCAACAAGGAAGUGACGGCUAACUACGUGCCAGCAGCCGCGGUAAAACGUAGGUCACAAGCGUUGUCCGGAAUUACUGGGUGUAAAGGGAGCGCAGGCGGGAGAUCAAGUUGGAAGUGAAAUCCAUGGGCUCAACCCAUGAACUGCUUUCAAAACUGGUCGUCUUGAGUAGUGCAGAGGUAGGCGGAAUUCCCGGUGUAGCGGUGGAAUGCGUAGAUAUCGGGAGGAACACCAGUGGCGAAGGCGGCCUACUGGGCACCAACUGACGCUGAGGCUCGAAAGUGUGGGUAGCAAACAGGAUUAGAUACCCUGGUAGUCCACACCGUAAACGAUGAUUACUAGGUGUUGGRAGAUUGACCCUUUCAGUGCCGCAGUUAACACAAUAAGUAAUCCACCUGGGGAGUACGACCGCAAGGUUGAAACUCAAAGGAAUUGACGGGGGCCCGCACAAGCAGUGGAGUAUGUGGUUUAAUUCGACGCAACGCGAAGAACCUUACCAAGUCUUGACAUCCCUUGACGAUGCUGGAAACAGUAUUUCUCUUCGGAGCAAGGAGACAGGUGGUGCAUGGUUGUCGUCAGCUCGUGUCGUGAGAUGUUGGGUUAAGUCCCGCAACGAGCGCAACCCUUAUGGUCAGUUACUACGCAAGAGGACUCUGGCCAGACUGCGGUUGAACAA